rnacentral:rRNA from 1 species
UACAGAGGAUGCUAGCGUUGUUCGGAAUCAUUGGGCGUAAAGGGCGUGUAGGCGGUUUGUUAAGUCAUGUGUGAAAUCCCUCGGCUCAACCGGGGAACGACGCAUGAAACUGGCAAGCUAGAGUACCAAAGAGGGGGGUGGAAUUCCUGGUGUAGCGGUGAAAUGCGCAGAUAUCAGGAGGAACACCGGUGGCGAAGGCGGGUCUCUGGGCCGAUAUUGACGCUGAGGAGCGAAAGCGUGGGGAGCGAACAGG